AGAACGAACGCUGGCGGCAGGCCUAACACAUGCAAGUCGAACGCCUUAGCAAUAAGGAGUGGCAGACGGGUGAGUAACACGUGGGAACGUACCCUUCGGUUCGGAAUAACUCAGGGAAACUUGUGCUAAUACCGGAUACGAUCGCGAGAUGAAAGAUUUAUCGCCGAAGGAUCGGCCCGCGUCUGAUUAGCUAGUUGGUGAGGUAAUGGCUCACCAAGGCGACGAUCAGUAGCUGGUCUGAGAGGAUGACCAGCCACAUUGGGACUGAGACACGGCCCAAACUCCUACGGGAGGCAGCAGUGGGAAUAUUGGACAAUGGGCGCAAGCCUGAUCCAGCCAUGCCGCGUGAGUGAUGAAGGCCUUAGGGUUGUAAAGCUCUUUUACUCGGGAAGAUAGUGACGGUACCGAGAGAAUAAGCCCGGCUAACUUCGCGCCAGCAGCCGC
rnacentral:rRNA from 1 species